rnacentral:rRNA from 1 species
AUUGAACGCUGGCGGCAGGCCUAACACAUGCAAGUCGAGCGGAUGAAGGGAGCUUGCUCCUGGAUUCAGCGGCGGACGGGUGAGUAAUGCCUAGGAAUCUGCCCGGUAGUGGGGGAUAACGUCCGGAAACGGGCGCUAAUACCGCAUACGUCCUGAGGGAGAAAGUGGGGGAUCUUCGGACCUCACGCUAUCAGAUGAGCCUAGGUCGGAGUAGCCAGUUGGUGGGGUAAAGGCCUACCAAGGCGACGAUCCGUAACUGGUCUGAGAGGAUGAUCAGUCACACUGGAACUGAGACACGGUCCAGACUCCUACGGGAGGCAGCAGUGGGGAAUAUUGGACAAUGGGCGAAAGCCUGAUCCAGCCAUGCCGCGUGUGUGAAGAAGGUCUUCGGAUUGUAAAGCACUUUAAGUUGGGAGGAAGGGCAGUAAGUUAAUACCUUGCUGUUUUGACGUUACCAACAGAAUAAGCACCGGCUAACUUCGUG